GACGGAGGGUGCUAGCGUUGUUCGGAUUGACUGGGCGUAAAGGGCGUGUAGGCGGUUGGUCAAGUCUGAUGUGAAAGCCCGAAGCUCAGCUUCGGAAGUGCGUCGGAAACUAGCCGACUGGAGCGCGAUAGAGGAGGGUGGAAUUCCUGGUGUAGCGGUGAAAUGCGUAGAUAUCAGGAGGAACACCGGCGGCGAAGGCGGCCCUCUGGAUCGUUGCUGACGCUGAGACGCGAAAGCGUGGGGAGCAAACAGG
rnacentral:rRNA from 1 species